rnacentral:rRNA from 1 species
UACGGAGGAUGCGAGCGUUAUCCGGAUUUAUUGGGUUUAAAGGGUGCGUAGGCGGCUUUUUAAGUCAGCGGUGAAAUUUUGCAGCUCAACUGUAAAAGUGCCUUCGAAACUGGUUUCCUUGAGUGUGGAUGAAGUAGGCGGAAUUUGUGGUGUAGCGGUGAAAUGCAUAGAUAUCACGAGGAACUCCGAUUGCGCAGGCAGCUUACUAAGCCAUAACUGACGCUCAGGCACGAAGGCGUGGGGAUCAAACAGGAUUAGAUACCCCU